rnacentral:rRNA from 1 species
AUUGCCUUAGUAACGGCGAGUGAAGCGGCAAUAGCUCAAAUUUGAAAGCUGGCCCUUUCAGGGUCCGCGUUGUAAUUUGUAGAGGAUGAUUCGGCGAGGGCUCCCGCCUAAGUCCCCUGGAACGGGGCGUCAUAGAGGGUGAGAAUCCCGUAUGCGGUGGGCUGCCUUAGCCAUGUGAAUCUCCUUCGACGAGUCGAGUUGUUUGGGAAUGCAGCUCUAAAUGGGAGGUAAAUUUCUUCUAAAGCUAAAUACCGGCCAGAGACCGAUAGCGCACAAGUAGAGUGAUCGAAAGAUGAAAAGCACUUUGGAAAGAGAGUUAAAAAGUACGUGAAAUUGUUGAAAGGGAAGCGCUUGCAACCAGACUUGUCCGCAGUUGCUCAGCCGGUCUCCUGACCGGCGUACUCUUCUGCGGCCAGGCCAGCAUCAGUUCGGGCGGUCGGAUAAAGACCUCGGGAAUGUAGCUCCUCUCGGGGAGUGUUAUAGCCCGGGGUGGAAUGCGGCCAGCCUGGACUGAGGAUCUCGCUUCGGCAAGGAUGCUGGCGUAAUGGUUGUAAGCGGCCCGUCUUGAAACACGGACCAAGGAGUCUAACAUCUAUGCGAGUGUUUGGGUGUCAAACCCAUACGCGUAAUGAAAGUGAACGGAGGUGGGAACCCGCAAGGGCGCACCAUCGGCCGAUCCUGAUGUCUUCGGAUGGAUUUGAGCAAGAGCAUAGCUGUUGGGACCCGAAAGAUGGUGAACUAUGCCUGAAUAGGGUGAAGCCAGAGGAAACUCUGGUGGAGGCUCGCAGCGGU